CCACCAUUGCUCUCGACAAUUUUUGCAACUUUUCUAUUGCUGCUAGAAUAGGAGGAUUUUAGACCGAUAAAAGCAACUGGCUUCAGCCGACCUUUUGGAUAUUGGCUGAAAGCUACCGGCAACUCCUUUGGCAAAUAUAUUUCCAUAGUUUUAUUUAACAUUUAUAUAGUAUAUGCAAACUUCAGAAUUCUAGAUCACAGUCUUUGAUAUAGCAACUUUUAGACCGAUACCUGUAACCUGGUCUGAGCCGAUUUUUUGCAUGUUGGCUGAAAGUUCCCGGCAACUCUUCUGUCAAAUAUAGUUCUAUAGUUUUAGUUAACAUAUGUAAACUUCAGAACUAUAAGUUUUUAUUUUUUUCUAAUAAAGCAUUGAUCAUAUAGUUAACACUAUAUUUCUAUUGGCUAGAAUUAUUUUUAGCAUGGUUACAACUGGAGUUAAAAACUGUGUAGCGUUGAUUUGAUACCCGAAGUCUUGUGGUUAAGCCACCGAAGUUCGAACCGAAGUCAGUUAUACGUCUUGUGUGAUCGUAAUUGAAAAGUGUAUUUGCAAUUGUGCAGUGAAAUUACAGUGGACGGUAGGUGCUGAGGUAUUUCCAUAACGCUUAGAGGACUAAGUGUUAUUGUAGAGCAUUAAAUGCAAAUGCUAUUUAAAAACUGACCAAGAAAUCGUCUUCUGCAUACUGGUAGCAGCUGGACUAUCAUACUUCACAGACUUCAAGAUGGCGACCUGGUGAAUACCGAGUACCUGUGAAGGAUCAGCAGUAGAAGUGAAAGGAUCCAAGAUGAUCGGUCCUGUUUGUUGAAUCCAAUCCAGUUUUGGGAGAGACAUCCAGUUUGGACAGGUUGCUUCCAGAUUCCCCAAAACUGGGCAUAAAUAUGGCUAGAAUUGGCCCACCAAAUUGCAUUCGGCUCUAGCCAGCUCCUGAGGUACUAUCCUGUCCUGAAGUGGUGUCUUGCCCAAAUACUCGGCCUGCUGCUGCCUCCAUCCUGUGUCUUGAUGCUGAAUCUGGCUAGCUUCACCUACGACUGCACUCUCCGCAGACCAGACUCUGCCUAGGCGUCCAGCCUGACAGCUCUACUAAGCACCUGUCCCUGAAGUUCCUUAGUAAUCCUGUCGCUGUUAUAAACCCAUAUUCGUGUAGACCGCCCGUUGUGCGCCUCUGACUGUAUUCCAGCAGUGCCACUCAACGUGUUCUGCCAGUGCCAAACUUGGGAUAUCAUUCCUGAGGUUCUGGUGGGAGCUUACGCUCACUUACAGUGCUCCAUUACCUAGUUUUGAUCAGUGUUGCUAAUUUUAAGUUCUUGAUCCAUAUUUCUUGCACUUAUGUGAUUCUUUAGGAUUAGUGAAUUUGCUUGCAAUUAGGUGGCACAUUUUCUUUGCUAUUACGAAUAAUAGUGUUAACGUCCCAAGUGCCAUGGAGCCAGAUAGUGCUCCUGUAAAUCAUAUCUUCCGAUGACCUUAUAGUAGAAAUUAUAUUUUG